CCCGCUGAACUUAAGCAUAUCAAUAAGCGGAGGAAAAGAAACUAACAAGGAUUCCCCUAGUAACUGCGAGUGAAGCGGGAAAAGCUCAAAUUUAAAAUCUGUCAGUCUUUGGCUGUCCGAGUUGUAAUCUAGAGAAGUGUUGCCCGUGCUGGACCAUGUACAAGUCUCCUGGAAUGGAGCAUCACAGAGGGUGAGAAUCCUGUCUUUGACAUGGACUGCCAGUGCUUUUGUGGUACGCUCUCAAAGAGUCGAGUUGUUUGGGAAUGCAGCUCAAAAUGGGUGGUAAAUGCCAUCUAAAGCUAAAAUAUUGGCGAGAGACCGAUAGCGAACAAGUACCGUGAGGGAAAGAUGAAAAGAACUUUGGAAAGAGAGUUAAACAGUACGUGAAAUUGCUGAAAGGGAAACGCUUGAAGUCAGUCACGUUGACUCGGAAUCAGCUCUGCUUUUGCUGGGUGUACUUUCUUGUCAAUGGGUCAGCAUCAAUUUUGACCAUUGGAUAAAGUUGCUGGGAAUGUAGCAUCCUUUUGGAUGUGUUAUAGCCUGGUGAUGCAUACAGUGGUUGGGAUUGAGGAAUUCAGCACGCCACCAGGCCGGGUUUUGACCACGUUCGUGCUUAGGAUGCUGGCAUAAUGGCUUUAAUUGACCCGUCUUGAAACACGG
rnacentral:rRNA from 1 species